UGAGCUGUCAAGCACCUGAAGAAAGUCAAGGAAGAAUAAGAAAUAACAUAGACAAUACUUCCAAGGGUUGCUUAAAAGAAGGUAUUUCCAGAGUAGAAAAACAUCUCUGGCAGCACUCUGUAUGGACACAAAAAGGAUGAUGUGGUACAUGAACUUCUAGUUCGAACACCAAUCCAUGUUCCAGUCAUCCAGUGCACAAGUGUAUAUAACCAAGCUACAAAGAAAGUGCAAGCAAAGAUCAUCUGACCCUCCAUCCUGACAUGAUUAACGAGGUAUCAUAGUAUAAGUGAGGAAGAAUAGCCUCCAAUACUACAAGUGCAUCUACCAACAAUAUCAUGAAUUCAUGAUCUCUUACUAUGUCAACGUGCUGCGAUUAUCUCAUCUACCAAAUCCAGUAUAACCUUUUUUUUUAAGAAAUGUCCAAUGUCAUCAUUCACAUUAACCCCCACAAUUCCCCCAUUCACUAUAUUAUCAAUCCAAUUGCACCACACCGAGGAAAAUCCCUUCAUUCUUAAACCUUGUGGUAAGAAUGACCAAUUAACAUUAUCGUAGGCUUUCUCAAAAUCUAAUUUGAGUAUAAUCCCAUUCUAUUUUUUCCUACGCAAUUCAUGAAUGGUUUCGUGUAGAAUGACCACUCCCUCCAUAAUAUAUCUUCCUG
rnacentral:lncRNA from 1 species